rnacentral:lncRNA from 1 species
CAGAGGUGAAGUGCACUCCGGAGAUGGCCAUUAAUCAAGUCAAGAGUCUCGGGGCUCAAGUUCCAUUACGGAGCACCUUCCGUUUUGACCCCAGUCUCACUCUACUCUAGAGGUUAUUUGGUGUCUGCCUUAAGUGAAUAAUUGAUUCAACUUCGAUCUUGAUCUUCGACUGCUCGUAAUGUGAGCCAAAGUAUCUGAUAUCUGAUAUCUGCUGGUCGAGGCUUGAUUAAUUUUGUAUCUUGCAGAUUCUGGAUAAGCUGUGGCAAGCCCGAAAAAACUUUCGUUUCGAAAGGCCAAGCAAGUUUGUUAAACUUUCAAGGGUCACUCGGUUAUUAUGUAACACGCCGCAGAUUCUUCUGGGGGAACAAACAGGUUCCUGCCCCCACCCGUUGUGACCCUCAGAGAUUCCCCUUAAAAAACCACAGUGUUCGGGUGUUUCAUUUAACGCGGCAAAAGGAUGCCAAUGGCAAUGGCCCGCAAUCGUGGCCCAUAAAUUGCUGGCCAACAAAAUAAGCGCAGCAAACUGGUUAAACGCUCUCGCCU